AUUGAACGCUGGCGGAAUGCUUUACACAUGCAAGUCGAACGGCAGCACGGACUUCGGUCUGGUGGCGAGUGGCGAACGGGUGAGUAAUACAUCGGAACGUGCCCAGUCGUGGGGGAUAACGUAGCGAAAGCUACGCUAAUACCGCAUACGAUCUAAGGAUGAAAGCGGGGGAUCGCAAGACCUCGCGCGAUUGGAGCGGCCGAUGGCAGAUUAGGUAGUUGGUAGGGUAAAGGCCUACCAAGCCGACGAUCUGUAGCUGGUCUGAGAGGAUGAUCAGCCGCACUGGGACUGGGACACGGCCCAGACUCCUACGGGAGGCGGCAGUGGGGAAUUUUGGACAAUGGGCGCAAGCCUGAUCCAGCCAUUCCGCGUGCAGGAUGAAGGCCUUCGGGUUGUAAACUGCUUUUGUACAGAACGAAAAGGCUCUGGUUAAUACCCGGGGCUCAUGACGGUACUGUAAGAAUAAGCACCGGCUAACUACGUGCCAGCCGCCGCGGUAA
rnacentral:rRNA from 1 species